rnacentral:rRNA from 1 species
AACGAACGCUGGCGGCAUGCCUAACACAUGCAAGUCGAACGAGACCUUCGGGUCUUGUGGCGCUCGGGUGCGUACCGCCUGGGAACUUGCCCUUAGGUUAGGAAUAACUCACUGUAAGGGGUGCUAAUAACGGUUAAUGUCAUAGGACCAAAGAUGUCUUGCCUUUGGAUGGGCCCGCGUUGGAUUAGCCAGUGGGUAGUGUAAAAGCCUAUCAAGGCGAUGUUGCAUAGCUGGUCUGAGAAGAGGACUAGCCCCGCUUGGGCUGAGACACGGCCCAGACUGCUACGGGAGGCAGCAGUGGGUAAUAUUGGACGAUGGGGGAAGGCCUGGUCCAGCAGUGCCGCGGAAGUGAUGAAUGCGGUAGGGUUGUAAAGCUCUUUGACCCGAAGUGAUAAUGACAGUAACGGGAGAAUAAGCACCGGCUAACUCCGUG